AGCUCCAACAGUGUAUAUUAACACUGCUGCGGUUGAAACGCUCGUAGUUGGGAAUUUGUUGUAUAUUAUUGGUCUAUCCUAGUGGUCAGUACUGUAUAUGAAUGCAGCAUCGUCUUGAUUAUCUUUUUACACUUAACUGUGUUUUAUGUUGAAGCAAUCCGUAUACUUUGAAGAAAUGAGAGUGUUUCAAGCAACUUUAUGCAAGGAUAUAUUAGCAUGGAAUAACACAUUACGAUUUCAUAUUGUGUCUGUUGGUUGCCGAGAUGGGGUAACAAGGAGGAGGAUAAGUGGUGGUAUUUAUAUUGCACAGUCAGAGGUGAAAUUCUUGGAUUUGUGCAAGAUGAUCGAUUGCGAAAGCAUUUGCAAGAGUG
rnacentral:rRNA from 1 species